CACACGCCCCGACCUGAAUGGAGCUCUUUUUGUAAGGAAGGGAAAAGCCUUGGCACAAAAAAGCGGGAAUGGAGGGCGGAAAUAGGC
rnacentral:misc_RNA from 1 species